rnacentral:rRNA from 1 species
GAUGAACGCUGGCGGCGUGCCUAAUACAUGCCAGUCGAGCGAACAGACGAGGAGCUUGCUCCUCUGACGUUAGCGGCAGACGGGUGAGUAACACGUGGAUAACCUACCUAUAAGACUGGGAUAACUUCGGGAAACCGGAGCUAAUACCGGAUAAUAUAUUGAACCGCAUGGUUCAAUAGUGAAAGACGGUUUUGCUGUCACUUAUAGAUGGAUCCGCGCCGCAUUAGCUAGUUGGUAAGGUAACGGCUUACCAAGGCAACGAUGCGUAGCCGACCUGAGAGGGUGAUCGGCCACACUGGAACUGAGACACGGUCCAGACUCCUACGGGAGGCAGCAGUAGGGAAUCUUCCGCAAUGGGCGAAAGCCUGACGGAGCAACGCCGCGUGAGUGAUGAAGGUCUUCGGAUCGUAAAACUCUGUUAUUAGGGAAGAACAAAUGUGUAAGUAACUAUGCACGUCUUGACGGUACCUAAUCAGAAAGCCACGGCUAACUACGU